rnacentral:rRNA from 1 species
CCUACGGGGAGCAGCAGUGAGGAAUAUUGGUCAAUGGGCUUACGCCUGAACCAGCCAAGUCGCGUGAGGGAAGACUGCCCUAUGGGUUGUAAACCUCUUUUGUCAGGGAGCAACGCCGGCUACGUGUAGCCGGACUGAGAGUACCUGAAGAAAAAGCAUCGGCUAACUCCGUGCCAGCAGCCGCGGUAAUACGGAGGAUGCGAGCGUUAUCCGGAUUUAUUGGGUUUAAAGGGUGCGUAGGCGGAAUGCCAAGUCAGCGGUAAAAGCGCGGGGCUCAACCUCGCUCCGCCGUUGAAACUGGCGUUCUUGAGUGGGCGAGAAGUAUGCGGAAUGCGUGGUGUAGCGGUGAAAUGCAUAGAUAUCACGCAGAACUCCGAUUGCGAAGGCAGCAUACCGGCGCCCAACUGACGCUGAAGCACGAAAGCGUGGGUAUCGAACAGGAUUAGAUACCCUGGUAGUC